AGUGAACGCUGGCGGUAGGCCUAACACAUGCAAGUCGAACGGCAGCACAGUAAGAGCUUGCUCUUACGGGUGGCGAGUGGCGGACGGGUGAGGAAUACAUCGGAAUCUACUUUUUCGUGGGGGAUAACGUAGGGAAACUUACGCUAAUACCGCAUACGACCUACGGGUGAAAGCAGGGGAUCUUCGGACCUUGCGCGAUUGAAUGAGCCGAUGUCGGAUUAGCUAGUUGGCGGGGUAAAGGCCCACCAAGGCGACGAUCCGUAGCUGGUCUGAGAGGAUGAGCGGCCACACUGGAACUGAGACACGGUCCAGACUCCUACGGGAGGCAGCAGUGGGGAAUAUUGGACAAGGGGGGCAAGCCUGAUCCAGCCAUACUGCGUGGGUGAAGAAGGCCUUCGGGUUGUAAAGCCCUUUUGUUGGGAAAGAAAAGCAGCAGGUUAAUACCCCGCUGUUCUGACGGUACCCAAAGAAUAAGCACCGGCUAACUUCGUG
rnacentral:rRNA from 1 species